ACGGGACGGGGCUUCCGGCGGAAGUGGCUAGCCUUCCACCGACUGUCGGGGAAGAUGUUGCGUUCAGGGUGGCAGUGGCUUUGCGUUGGACUGUGCAGCCUCCUGCUGGGACAGGCGGAGGCCCCGACCCCUGUGGAGCCUCCAGAGCGGAGCCGGCCGUAUGCGGUGCUGCGUGGGCAGAACCUGGUGUUGAUGGGAACCAUCUUCAGCCUCCUGCUGGUGACCGUGAUCCUCAUGGCAUUCUGCGUCUACAAGCCCAUUCGGCGACGGUGACAGCUGAGCAAGUCCUUCCAUGAGCAUCUGGGAACGGAAUAAGUUGUGUUGCACGCGGGUCAGUGGAGAAGCUGUAAUCGGAACAUUACUGCUUGGAAGUAAUCUUUGGUCUGGACAGUUGAUAAAUUCUGAACAAUUUAGAAAAAAUAUCUAGCCAUUGUCUUAUCCUGACACUGGAAGGCAAGCAUUGGGCCACUGAGUCCACUUCUCAGUGUUUCUUCUUAUAUCUGGCUGUGCUUGUUAAAAGUAAGACCUGAAGCUCCAGGGUUCAGCGUAAAGAUGGAGUGCUCAGGAGAAAGAAAACGUAACUUUGUAAGUGGUGAAAAAGCCACCCUGGAUUGGAAAAGUCGCUAAUGUUUGAAACUGUUAUGAGAAGGGGGAUUUGACCUGUAGACAUUCCCUACUUAAGAAUCAUUUGGUCAGAAUGGGAUAAGAAUAACAAAUGUUAUUAAUUAUCCUGAGUUGGCCUCGAUGCCCUGUUCGCAAAGCAGUGUCCGCUAUGGGGAACGUAGGUGGUACCCCCCCACCUCACUCCUCAUGCUGCAUGGAGUUCUGUGCUUAGAUACCUCCAUUGAAGUCGGGGUCACCAGGUAGGCCUGUGACCACGGGCACCCUUGGGCUGGGAGGCUCUGGGGGUGGCUGGAAGCAUAGCAGUUGGCCCGUCUCAAACUCGUUGACUUCCUUGUCCUGCACUUAAGCCUUCCCAGCCUGUGGCCUGGAAGUCAGGGCAGUUUUCUGAAUCAGGCGGUCUUUUCUGCCCUGGGUGGGGAGGGUGCAGGGGCGCAGCAGAUGUGCAUGUUCACUGUCAAGGCCAAGGGGCGAGCAGGUGUGUGUUUACACAAGUUAAUUUCCACUUUGAAAAUGCUGCUGUUCAUUUGCACUGUUGGUGAACUGGAACAUCCCCCCGUGGGGAUGAGACUUUCAUUCUUAACAGUAUUUAUUUUAAGGGUGCUAGGCUUAUCUGUGUUACUAAAUUAAAAUGCUUAUCUUGUUUUGUGCUCUAUUCUAGCACAGCACUGAUUUUUUUUUUUAAACAACCUCAACUAAAUGUGAAAUAACUGAAGUGGGAUACUGUAACUGACUGAACAGUUCUGUGUGUGACCCCAGCUCUGAGCCGCUGACAUGUUCGCUGUUCCGUGCUUUUGAGCAAAAUGUCUAUUAAAACGAAAGUAAAAUCUUA